CGUGGUCAAAACAUAUGUGUAUUUUAU
rnacentral:sRNA from 1 species